CCCUUAGAUGUUCUGGGCCGCACGCGCGCUACACUGACGAAUGCAACGAGCUUAUAACCUUGGCCGAAGGGUCCGGGUAAUCUUUGAAAUUUCAUCGUGAUGGGGAUAGAUUAUUGCAAUUAUUAAUCUUCAACGAGGAAUUCCUAGUAAGCGCGAGUCAUCAGCUCGCGUUGAUUACGUCCCUGCCCUUUGUACACACCGCCCGUCGCUCCUACCGAUUGAAUGGUCCGGUGAAAUGUUCGGAUCGCGGCAAAUCGGACGGGUAACCGUCAGGUUCGCUGCGAGAAGUUCAUUAAACCUUAUCAUUUAGAGGAAGGAGAAGUCGUAACA
rnacentral:rRNA from 1 species